GAGGGCAUAGCUCAGUGGUAGAGCUCACGCUUAACAUGCGUGAGGUCCUGGGCUCCAUUCCUGGUACCUCCA
rnacentral:tRNA from 1 species